AGUCAGUGGUGAAGACUGGGCGAUUGCUGAUUAGCCACGAGGCUCCCUUGACAGGAGGAUUUGCAUCUGAAAUCAGUUCCACAGUUCAGGAGGAAUGCUUUUUGAAUUUAGAAGCUCCUAUUUCAAGAGUAUGUGGCUAUGACACUCCUUUCCCUCACGUCUUUGAGCCUUUCUACAUCCCAGACAAGUGGAAAUGCUAUGAUGCUCUUCGAAAUAUGAUUAACUACUAAGCAGUAGUACAGAGAUUAGAAGAACAACAGGGAAAUACAGAAGCUGCCUUCAAAGCUCUUGACACUUUACUCAGACGUUUUGGUUUGGAAUUCACAUAGCAGAAUUCAACUAUCCUUAAUAUUCAUCUUGGAUAUUAUUGAGAAAGGUCAAAUCUUCCUUAAUUAUGAAAUCAAUGCUGGGCAGGUGAUUGCUGUAAUAAUUAGUUUCAGAUGUAUUCAAAGGUAUUCCAGAUGUCUUACAUCUGUUACACAUUGCCGUGCUUCACUAGGUUACAUCUUUAAACUUCACUGUGUAAAUAUUAGAAGCAGAAUUUUAUUCAAUAAAAUGUAUUAU